ACGAAGGGUGCAAGCGUUGUUCGGAAUCAUUGGGCGUAAAGCGCGCGCAGGCGGAUCAGCAAGUCAGGUGUGAAAUCUCGAGGCUCAACCUCGAAACUGCGCCUGAAACUGCUAGUCUAGAAUGUCGGAGGGGGUAGGGGAAUUUCACGUGUAGGGGUAAAAUCCGUAGAGAUGUGAAGGAACACCGGGGGCGAAGGCGCCUACCUGGACGACUAUUGACGCUGAGGCGCGAAAGCGUGGGGAGCAAACAGG
rnacentral:rRNA from 1 species